rnacentral:rRNA from 1 species
CCUACGGGAGGCAGCAGUGGGGAAUAUUGGGCAAUGGGCGCAAGCCUGACCCAGCAACGCCGCGUGAAGGAAGAAGGCUUUCGGGUUGUAAACUUCUUUUAAGAGGGAAGAGCAGAAGACGGUACCUCUGGAAUAAGCCACGGCUAACGACGUGCCAGCAGCCGCGGUAAUACGUAGGUGGCAAGCGUUGUCCGGAUUUACUGGGUGUAAAGGGCGUGCAGCCGGGAAGACAAGUCCGAGGGGAAAGCCCGCGGCUCCACCCCGGAACGGCUUUUGAAACUGUUUUUCUGGAGUACCGGAGAGGUCAUCGGCCUUCCUUUUGUAGCGGUGA